GGAGGAUUAGCUCAGCUGGGAGAGCGUCUGCCUUACAAGCAGGAUGUCGGGGGUUCGAGCCCUCAUCCUCCA
rnacentral:tRNA from 1 species